ensembl:snRNA U6 U6 spliceosomal RNA
AUGCUCAUGUUGGCAGCACUUACACUAAAAUUGAAACAAUACAGAGAAGAUUAGCAUGGUCCCUGCACAAGAAUGACACGCAAAUUCUGUAAAGCAUUCCAGUUUUGG